rnacentral:lncRNA from 1 species
AUGUGGUGGGCCCAGGUUGCUGCCAGUUCUUUUGGAAUCACCAAGCACAUGGUCAAGUUGCCUAAUAUGACUGCCUAUCACCCAGGAGAUGAAGCCAUGCCAGUGAGGCACAUACUUGAGGUGCGGAGGAGUCCAGCGAGAAGUGUGGCGGGCACAGGUUGCUGCUACUGCUUUUUGGAUCACCCAGCACGGUCUUCUGAAGUCUUCCUGAAAGCAUCCCUGGUGAUCUGUGAGCCCUUGGUCGUGUUGCCCGCCUUCUUCCUGUGGGUCUUGCUGGAUGCUCAUUGUCCCUGUGAGCCGAGGCCCUGGAGGCUUCAGAUUUAGGUGAAGUUGCCACGUAUGACUGUCCAUCAGCCAGGAGAUGAACCCCCACCCGUGAGGCAGUGACUCAAGGUGCAAGGGAGUCCGGCAAGAAGUGUGGCGCACCCGAGUUGCUGCCACUGCUUUUUGGAUCACCCAGCACG